GACGAACGCUGGCGGCGUGCUUAACACAUGCAAGUCGUACGGUAAGGCCCUUUCGGGGGUACACGAGUGGCGAACGGGUGAGUAACACGUGAGUAACCUGCCCACAACUUUGGGAUAACGCUAGGAAACUGGUGCUAAUACUGGAUAUGUGCUCCUGCUGCAUGGAGGGGGUUGGAAAGCUCCGGCGGUUGUGGAUGGACUCGCGGCCUAUCAGCUUGUUGGUGGGGUAGUGGCCUACCAAGGCGGCGACGGGUAGCCGGCCUGAGAGGGUGACCGGCCACAUUGGGACUGAGGUACGGCCCAGACUCCCACGGGAGGCAGCAGUGGGGAAUAUUGCACCAUGGGCGCAAGCCUGAUGCAGCAACGCCGCGUGCGGGAUGACGGCCUUCGGGUUGUAAACCGCUUUCAGCAGGGACGAAGCUUUUUGUGACGGUACCUGCAGAAGAAGCACCGGCUAACUACGUG
rnacentral:rRNA from 1 species